rnacentral:rRNA from 1 species
UGGGGAAUAUUGCACAAUGGGCGCAAGCCUGAUGCAGCCAUGCCGCGUGUGUGAAGAAGGCCUUCGGGUUGUAAAGCACUUUCAGCGAGGAGGAAGGUGGUGAGCUUAAUACGCUCAUCAAUUGACGUUACUCGCAGAAGAAGCACCGGCUAACUCCGUGCCAGCAGCCGCGGUAAUACGGAGGGUGCAAGCGUUAAUCGGAAUUACUGGGCGUAAAGCGCACGCAGGCGGUUUGUUAAGUCAGAUGUGAAAUCCCCCGGGCUCAACCUGGGAACUGCAUUUGAAACUGGCAAGCUAGAGUCUCGUAGAGGGGGGUAGAAUUCCAGGUGUAGCGGUGAAAUGCGUAGAGAUCUGGAGGAAUACCGGUGGCGAAGGCGGCCCCCUGGACGAAGACUGACGCUCAGGUGCGAAAGCGUGGGGCAGCAAACAGGAUUAGAUACCCUGGUAGUCCAGCGCUGUAAACGAUGUCGAUUUGGAGGUUGUGCCCCUUGAGGCGUGGCUUCCGGAGCUAACG